rnacentral:rRNA from 1 species
UACGUAGGGGCGAGGCGUUGUCCGGAUUUAUUGGGCGUAAAGAGCGUGUAGGCGGCCAGGUAGGUCUGCUGUGAAAACUCGAGGCUCAACCUCGAGACGUCGGCGGAAACCAUCUGGCUAGAGUCCGGAAGAGGAGAGUGGAAUUCCUGGUGUAGCGGUGAAAUGCGCAGAUAUCAGGAAGAACACCCGUGGCGAAGGCGGCUUUCUGGUCUGUAACUGACGCUGAGGCGCGAAAGCGUGGGGAGCAAACAGG